UGGCGCAUUUUAGUAGGGUCCCGUACUCGGCGUACUCUGUCGCGCACACCCGUCCGCCGCGUAUACACUGUGACUACGUCGCUUUCUCGAACUCGUAUUUAUCGUCGUACUGACCACCCUCAACGACCGCCACUACCGAUUUCUUAAAAAAAGUUGUUUUCUACUCGGGAUUUUCGACGUUUUAUUUGCCAUAGUUUUUAUUAUCAUUUUUUUUUCGUUCAUUUUAAAUUUUUUCCAACUCGUGUUAUAUAGUACUAUAAUAAUAACAAUAAUAAUAAUAUCAUCAUCACCUAAUAUAUUAAUAUUAAAAUAUUAUAUAGUGUUUUUCCCUAAACCGCACGGCCGCGUCGCCGUCAAUCUCCGGAUCUGACCGCAGAUAUGUGGCCGAAAUUUGCAUUUCUUGGACUUGUGAUCAUCCGAUUAAUGGUGUCAGCAAAUCCAGAUGCAAAGAGAUUGUACGAUGAUCUCUUGUCUAGCUACAACAAGCUCGUCAGACCCGUGGUGAAUACUAGCGAUGUUCUUCGGGUAUCUAUAAAGUUGAAACUGUCGCAACUUAUCGAUGUGAACUUGAAGAAUCAGAUUAUGACCACCAAUUUGUGGGUUGAGCAGGCGUGGAAUGACUACAAAUUACAAUGGGACCCGAAAGAGUAUGGUGGAGUACAAAUGCUCCACGUGCCUUCUGAUCACAUUUGGCGGCCGGAUAUCGUGCUCUACAACAAACGUGGUAUGUUGUGUUGUUCCAGUGCGGACGGUAACUACGAGGUGACCCUUAUGACAAAGGCGACGGUUUACUGUACAGGGCUUGUAUUAUGGCAGCCACCCGCCGUCUAUAAGUCCUCAUGCUCCAUCGACGUCGAGUUCUUCCCCUAUGACGUCCAAACUUGCGUACUGAAACUAGGAAGUUGGACGUAUGAUGGGUUCAAGGUAGACUUGAGACACAUGGACGAAAAGGUCGGUUCGAACAUCGUCGAUGUCGGAGUGGAUCUCUCAGAAUUUUACAUGUCGGUUGAAUGGGAUAUACUGGAAGUACCAGCGGUCAGGAACGAAAAGAUCUACCCAUGUUGCGACGAACCAUACUUAGACAUAACGUUUAACAUCACCAUGAGAAGGAAAACGCUUUUCUAUACGGUAAACAUCAUCAUACCGUGCAUGGGAAUCUCAUUCCUCACAGUUUUGACGUUUUACUUGCCAUCGGACAGCGGUGAAAAAGUGACGUUGUCUAUAUCAAUUUUAAUUAGUCUUCACGUUUUUUUCUUGCUGGUUGUCGAAAUUAUACCUCCGACGUCAUUAGUAGUUCCAUUAUUGGGAAAAUAUUUGAUAUUUGCUAUGAUACUGGUUUCAAUAAGCAUUUGUGUUACUGUAGUCGUAUUGAACGUUCAUUUUCGAUCACCUCAGACGCACAAAAUGGCACCUUGGGUGAAAAGAGUGUUUAUCCAUAUACUGCCAAGACUUUUAGUGAUGCGAAGACCUCAAUACCAAUUUGAACCAAAUAAAUUCAACGCCGGUUCGAUAAUGCUAAAGGGCAGAGACAUACAUCCGUGUUUCUUCCAGGCUGGCUGUGGUUACGACAGCACAGAAGCCAGUAAAGAUAAAGGUCGCCGACAAACAGAUGACAGUAGCAUGUCGAAAGGCACCAGAGAAACGUCCAAAGAAGACUUAUCCAGUGACGGAGAAGGGGGUAACUGCCAGGUACAUGGGAUAUCACAAAGUCUGAUAUCCGACGAGAUAUCAGUCACCGAAAUGACAACAGACUGCAGCAAGAGCUCUAUCCUGCUCAGGAGUCCUGGAUUUCUGCAUUCAUCCUGUCCUCCAGCCAUGCACAAGUCGUGUUUUUGCAUCCGAUUCAUCGCGGAACACACGAAAAUAACGGAUGACGCGACAAAAGUGAAAGAAGAUUGGAAGUAUGUCGCGAUGGUCUUGGACAGACUAUUCUUGUGGAUAUUUACACUGGCCGUCUUCGCGGGCACGGCAGGUAUUAUCCUACAAGCUCCCACGUUGUACGAUGACCGGAUACCGAUCGACAAAAAGUUCAGCGAAUACCAAACCACAUAAAGAAAACGAGUUUUUUAUGAAUGAAAAGAAAAAUCCGAUUGGAGGCCGCCUUUGACUCGGAAAGAUAUACAUCGUAUAGUUUGACGCAACGUGAAGGCACCUAAAACCAACGAAAAACAAAAACAAAUUCCAACGUCGAUGACGUCACUUUUUAGUUGCAGUUCCAAUUGCAGCGGUUGUUCAUGAUGAUGAUAAUAUUAAUAAGUUAGCCAAAAAAUAAUAAUAUAAUUAUGUUUUUGUACGUUUAAAUUUUGUUGUAUAUUAUUAAAUUUUGUUAUAAUACUGAUAACGAUGAUUUCAAUGAUGCCCAGUAACAGAGUAAUUUAUUACGCAAUAAUAAUAAUGAUAAUGCACAGACACUGUACGCGUGUGCCCAAUAAUAAUAUUAUUAUUAUAAAAACAAAAUGUAUUUUAUAUAAUUAUUAUUAUUAUUAUUAAUUAAUUGUCCUGUUAAAAUUUACGAUUAUAAUAUUAAUAUAGUGACCACUGACCAUAACGUUAUAAUAUAUUAUUAUUAUACAGGUUCAAUUUUUUUUUAACAGUGGAUUUAAAAAAAACUAUCUACUAUAUUAUUAUUAUUAUUAUUAAUGAUAACAAAAAAUGCCAUUUACUAACGAUAAUAUUUUUUACAUGUUUGUGUAUUUUUAUUAUUUAUAGUUGUACUGCGUUGUCGUUUGCGUUCAAAUGCAGAAAAAAAAUAUAUAUUUAGAUAGGGUCAUGCGUAGAGUGCCUUAAACAUAAUAUUAAUAUAAUAUUCCGUAGACUAUCGUAUUUACAUUCUAGUCGUAUAACUUAUCGUUUUACUUUUUUUGUAUACGGUCGGAUUUGAAAUUAUGAGCGUUUUUAUGCCUACGUGAUGUUUCAUUUGAACAAUAUUAUGUGUAUGGAAAAACUGCCAAAAAUUGUGUAACUGAAAAUAAUCGAUAUAACUUAUAUAUUAAAAAAUAUCAACAAAAAUCGUUAACAUUUUGUUAUACGGAUAAUUUAUAUCCAACUAUAACUGGGUUAAACGUAUUUUCUGUUAUUGUUAUGAAAAUAAUUCUUAUGACAUUCAUUAAUGAUCUAAUGAAUACAAUUUAUGAAAAUGUAAAAUAUCACUGUUAUCCCAUUAAGCUGAUAAAAGUUAUUUUUUUUUACUUUUUUUAAUUAUUAAACGGUAAAAAAAAAAAUGUCUCAAUAACUAUAUCUCAAACCAUUAAUUUUAAUAUAAUCCAAAAAGAUUAGUCUAGAAAAAAAAUUGAUUAAAUCUUUCGUAUAUUGAAUAUCAGAAUCCUUCAUUGGUUACUGUUGUUCAACUUUUAUCGCUCAAUGAACCGAAAUUUACCUAGUCAAUCUAAAAUAUUGUUAUUAAAGAUAUAUCUUUAUCGCACUCAAUAAUUUUAUCGGUUGAAUUUUUAUAUACUUACGAUAAUUAUUUAUACGUUUAACUAAAGGCUUAAUGUGAAUAAAAAUUCAGAAAUAAUGAAACGCCACCAUUAUUCAGACAUUGUUGUACAUAUUGUGAAUUUAGAGUCUUAUGUUAAUCAGCUGCGAUCGAAUUAACGGGGGAACCAAAUUUAGCAUUACAUAUAGUCUUGUUAACUGCAGCUGCAGACAAUAAACAGAAAUUUAAAAAUUUGAACAUUAUUGCUCAAUGGCUUGGAUUUCGUUUUUUGUUUCUAGACUUUAAAAAAAAUAAUAAUAUCCCGUUGAAGGAUAUUAAUUAGAAGACAUAAAUUAUCAACUGUUCGAACGAAAACCGUAGAUUAUAUUGAUUGAAUAAUGUUUAUGAUUAGAUUUAAAAUAUAUGCCGUGGCGUUAAAUAUAUUAAGUAAAACUAUAGUAAAAUAUAUUAUUUUAAAUAUAUAGGAGUGAGGAGUUACAUGAUUUUACUCGUGUUGUCCUUGUUCGUGUGCUUAAUAUUAUGAAAUAGAUUUAAACAUAAAAAAAAUAUUCAAGAACAUGUACGUUAAUUAUGUUAUAAAUGUAAUGCGUGUGUAGGCAAAGUUGAAUUGAAAAAUAUGAUACCUGUUAAAUUUUUUUUUAUGUGAAUUUUUUUUUUUUUUUGGUGGGGUGGGUGGGUUACAAUAGACUGUGAUGUAUUAUAAUAAUAAAGUUUUUAGACUAUUAUCUGUUUAUGACUGUUUGUUAUAAUAAAUGCAUAUAGAAGGAACGUAAUGAAUAUAAAAAAAAUCUAAAUACAUUAUAUAUUAUAGAUACAUGAAUGUAAAAUAAUAAUAUAAUAUGUUAUAUUAUUUAA